AGCGUAUGGCUCCUAGAGUCUGUGCAAUUAAGUUCCUGGAGAGGAGGAGGCAGGGAAAUUGUUGACCUCUGAACUGACAGAUGAAAACAAGAAACAAACAAACAAAAAGAUAGCCGAUAGGUAAAUAGGUUCAAUGGUUAAGCAGUGACGCAUCUGAGUGCUGGUUCUUUCUCUAGUAAACCUAAUAUCAAAGGAAGAAUGCCAUGAUAAGGAGUUCAAAAGUACCCUAAGCUUAAAACAGCUUUGGAAAAACCAAGCUGGUUUAACUGAUAUAAUUACUGCGGAUUCAUUGAAGUCUGAACAGCAAAGUAUUUAAAGCACUGUCAGGAAAUAUUAAAUCUCCCUUCUGAGACUAGGAUGGAAAAAGAAUCAGCCCCCCAUGAACCACAUACACUCAAAUCCUUGUUCAGAGGCUGCUUCUGGGAGAAUCCAGCCUAAGGACGUUGAUACCAACAGUUGUUAUAGGAAGCAGACACUCAGAAUGAGAUACCGAUGGGAAAGAUGGGCUAGCCCCACUUAAGUCGGGUGAUGAUUACCUCUGGUGUGGCAAAGCACUGGUUUCUUAGAUUUCACCUAUUUUGGACUGAGAAGGGAAUCCUGUGGAAGGAGAUGUACUGGUUUAUGCAGUAGCUCCAAAGCUUGAAAGAUAUGAGGACUGGGAAAUUAGUUGCUGUUGUUAACAUACAAACGAAGGAAGAAAAUAGAAGACUCAGAUCAACAAUCUAUCAAUUCAAGGUGUGGUGUGAAAACCAAAUGCAUCAGUGGUAUUGUUUAAAAAGAUCCAGAAGGCUGUGCUAAUAAUCAGAUCCGAGAUUUAGAUAUAAGUGGUGGAACUAUGAAGUCAGCCUCUUGAAGUCAUCCACAACUUGAGACCUAGAAUGAGGACUUCUGGGUGGAGGUACUUGAACUCUGUCAACCCCUAGAUUUCUCCGACCCCUGGACCAAUAAAGGUGAGCCUUUCCCCUUGGCUGGAGGAAAGCAGUCUUGUAUUUUCUGAAGACUAUGCAAGGUCCUUUCCUGCAACGAUGACUUCAAGAUGUGUUUGUCCUCCUUGACAUCUCCACUUUUUCUGGACUUCUUCACUGCUUUAACAUUUGUGUUGUCCAAUUUAACAUCCACAAGCCUCAUGUAACUAUAAACU
ensembl:lncRNA